GGGUUGUGAGGUUAAGCGACUAAGCGUACACGGUGGAUGCCCUGGCAGUCAGAGGCGAUGAAGGGCGUGCUAAUCUGCGAUAAGCGCCGGUAAGGUGAUAUGAACCGUUAUAACCGGCGAUACCCGAAUGGGGAAACCCAGUGUGACUCGUCACACUAUCAUUAACUGAAUCCAUAGGUUAAUGAGGCGAACCGGGGGAACUGAAACAUCUAAGUACCCCGAGGAAAAGAAAUCAACCGAGAUUCCCCCAGUAGCGGCGAGCGAACGGGGAGGAGCCCAGAGCCUGAAUCAGCAUGUGUGUUAGUGGAAGCGUCUGGAAAGGCGCGCGAUACAGGGUGACAGCCCCGUACACAAAAGCGCAUGUGCUGUGAGCUCGAUGAGUAGGGCGGGACACGUGGUAUCCUGUCUGAAUAUGGGGGGACCAUCCUCCAAGGCUAAAUACUCCUGACUGACCGAUAGUGAACCAGUACCGUGAGGGAAAGGCGAAAAGAACCCCGGCGAGGGGAGUGAAAAAGAACCUGAAACCGUGUACGUACAAGCAGUGGGAGCACAGGUUUACCUGUGUGACUGCGUACCUUUUGUAUAAUGGGUCAGCGACUUAUAUUCUGUAGCAAGGUUAACCGAAUAGGGGAGCCGGAGGGAAACCGAGUCUUAACCGGGCGUUAAGUUGCAGGGUAUAGACCCGAAACCCGGUGAUCUAGCCAUGGGCAGGUUGAAGGUUGGGUAACACUAACUGGAGGACCGAACCGACUAAUGUUGAAAAAUUAGCGGAUGACCUGUGGCUGGGGGUGAAAGGCCAAUCAAACCGGGAGAUAGCUGGUUCUCCCCGAAAGCUAUUUAGGUAGCGCCUCGUGAACUCAUCUCCGGGGGUAGAGCACUGUUUCGGCUAGGGGGCCAUCCCGGCUUACCAACCCGAUGCAAACUGCGAAUACCGGAGAAUGUUAUCACGGGAGACACACGGCGGGUGCUAACGUCCGUCGUGAAGAGGGAAACAACCCAGACCGCCAGCUAAGGUCCCAAAGUCAUGGUUAAGUGGGAAACGAUGUGGGAAGGCCCAGACAGCCAGGAUGUUGGCUUAGAAGCAGCCAUCAUUUAAAGAAAGCGUAAUAGCUCACUGGUCGAGUCGGCCUGCGCGGAAGAUGUAACGGGGCUAAACCAUGCACCGAAGCUGCGGCAGCGAACGUAUCACCCAAGACAACUUUACGGAGUUGACGAUUGACGGAGCGAAGCGACGUCAAAGCGUAUACAAAGUCGAGUUGGCUUAGGGAUACGUUCGUUGGGUAGGGGAGCGUUCUGUAAGCCUGUGAAGGUGGCCUGUGAGGGUUGCUGGAGGUAUCAGAAGUGCGAAUGCUGACAUAAGUAACGAUAAAGCGGGUGAAAAGCCCGCUCGCCGGAAGACCAAGGGUUCCUGUCCAACGUUAAUCGGGGCAGGGUGAGUCGACCCCUAAGGCGAGGCCGAAAGGCGUAGUCGAUGGGAAACGGGUUAAUAUUCCCGUACUUGGUGUUACUGCGAAGGGGGGACGGAGAAGGCUAUGUUGGCCGGGCGACGGUUGUCCCGGUUUAAGCGUGUAGGUGUGUGUUCCAGGUAAAUCCGGUUCACUUUAACACUGAGGCGUGAUGACGAGGCACUACGGUGCUGAAGCAACAAAUGCCCUGCUUCCAGGAAAAGCCUCUAAGCAUCAGGUAACAUCAAAUCGUACCCCAAACCGACACAGGUGGUCAGGUAGAGAAUACCAAGGCGCUUGAGAGAACUCGGGUGAAGGAACUAGGCAAAAUGGUGCCGUAACUUCGGGAGAAGGCACGCUGACACGUAGGUGAAGUGAUUUACUCAUGGAGCUGAAGUCAGUCGAAGAUACCAGCUGGCUGCAACUGUUUAUUAAAAACACAGCACUGUGCAAACACGAAAGUGGACGUAUACGGUGUGACGCCUGCCCGGUGCCGGAAGGUUAAUUGAUGGGGUCAGCGCAAGCGAAGCUCCUGAUCGAAGCCCCGGUAAACGGCGGCCGUAACUAUAACGGUCCUAAGGUAGCGAAAUUCCUUGUCGGGUAAGUUCCGACCUGCACGAAUGGCGUAAUGAUGGCCAGGCUGUCUCCACCCGAGACUCAGUGAAAUUGAACUCGCUGUGAAGAUGCAGUGUACCCGCGGCAAGACGGAAAGACCCCGUGAACCUUUACUAUAGCUUGACACUGAACAUUGAGCCUUGAUGUGUAGGAUAGGUGGGAGGCUUUGAAGCGUGGACGCCAGUCUGCGUGGAGCCAACCUUGAAAUACCACCCUUUAAUGUUUGAUGUUCUAACGUGGACCCGUAAUCCGGGUUGCGGACAGUGUCUGGUGGGUAGUUUGACUGGGGCGGUCUCCUCCUAAAGAGUAACGGAGGAGCACGAAGGUUGGCUAAUCCUGGUCGGACAUCAGGAGGUUAGUGCAAUGGCAUAAGCCAGCUUGACUGCGAGCGUGACGGCGCGAGCAGGUGCGAAAGCAGGUCAUAGUGAUCCGGUGGUUCUGAAUGGAAGGGCCAUCGCUCAACGGAUAAAAGGUACUCCGGGGAUAACAGGCUGAUACCGCCCAAGAGUUCAUAUCGACGGCGGUGUUUGGCACCUCGAUGUCGGCUCAUCACAUCCUGGGGCUGAAGUAGGUCCCAAGGGUAUGGCUGUUCGCCAUUUAAAGUGGUACGCGAGCUGGGUUUAGAACGUCGUGAGACAGUUCGGUCCCUAUCUGCCGUGGGCGCUGGAGAACUGAGGGGGGCUGCUCCUAGUACGAGAGGACCGGAGUGGACGCAUCACUGGUGUUCGGGUUGUCAUGCCAAUGGCACUGCCCGGUAGCUAAAUGCGGAAGAGAUAAGUGCUGAAAGCAUCUAAGCACGAAACUUGCCCCGAGAUGAGUUCUCCCUGAGACUUUAGGUCUCCUGAAGGAACGUUGAAGACGACGACGUUGAUAGGCCGGGUGUGUAAGCGCAGCGAUGCGUUGAGCUAACCGGUACUAAUGAACCGUGAGGCUUAACCUUACAACGCCGAAG
rnacentral:rRNA from 1 species